GCGGGUUUUUCCUGGAUUUACAAGACAUUUGAAAUUGACCUGGCAAGCCUGUCUCUGUCUGAGCAUGAUCACAACAAAAGUAGCUGUGCAGCACGUUUUUUAAUGAAGAGGAGGAUGGUUGUAGACGUUCACAUUCCUGCAAGAAGGCACUGCAGAGGCUCAGAAGACACAUGGAAACUCUAAAACAAACAUAAUUCAACUUGUAGGCCAGAUUUGAAAAGGAAAUAAUAAAUCCCGAAGCUCAGAUGUCAGACACCGAGGCUGCCAGUACCUCUGGGUCGAUAGUCCAUGUGUUGGAUGAUGCACUGCCGUUGAUCAGAACAAGUUAGUAACUUGACCAAAGCUAUGCUUGGAUACAAGACUGAUGACUCAAUAACCAAUAUUGACAACAGUGAAGAUGGUUGUGUCCCAGGGCCAUCAGAGGAAGGCAAUUUCUAUGAAGAAAAUCUGACCGGAGAGAUGUCAGCGAUUCGGGCCAAUGACCAAGGGAAAGCUGGGACAAAAGAGAGGCUCACACGGU